GCUCUGCUAAUGAGGGCCUGUCAUCCAGCCCCAAGGCUGAGUCACCCACACCAGCAGGUCUCUCUUCCUUCCCCAGCAAUUGUUCCAAAAGCUCACCUUUCAAUUAGUACACCUCCCUGGGUUCCUCCCAGAGAUAUUUGGGGCUACAGAGCCCGGCAGGCCUGCUGGGGUCAAGGUGGUGGGGCUGUGACUAGAAAGGAAGCAAGCUAGUGACACACCAAGCAGGGCUGUCCCCAGAGGAAUCCAAAGCUUCCCACUGCCCUGGGGUGUUGGUCACAGGUGCCCCAAUCCCAGCCUGGCCUACUGAUGCUACAAUUACCUCAGAGCAUGAAACCGGCUUCCCACCUGACUGAGUCAGCUGAAAACAAAAUAUAUCUCUCUACCACACACUGGCAUAAACAGCCAAGCCACUAAUCAGUCCCACAGCUGCCGGCAGAGAGGACACAGUCCUACAUUGACCAGGAGACAGGGCACACGCUGGGAGCCACCAGAGAGAGGAUGAGCAGGGGCCCAGCUGCCACUGACCUGUGGAAAGUUCACAUGCUCCCCUGCCAGCAGUGAAGGUUCUGCCCUGCCACCUGGCUGCCCUGCCUAUACCUUGUUCCUGCUCUGCUCCGUAAGUGCUGCUUCUUACUCUGUCAUUUGCCUCCCCCCACACGUCUAUCAAGUAACCGGCCACUCUCAUCCAGGUGGGAACUUUUGUUCCCUGGUGCUCUGCUCUCCAGGCCUUGUCUCACCACCAAGAUGCAGGUCAGAGGACCACGCUGAGCAGAAAGCACUGUUUGUUUCUAGCCGGUGAGGGCUCUCCCUGGUUCUUGGCAUUCAGAACUCUGGCAGGUACCAAAUGGUCUCUAGCUGCUCUUGAACUCCUCUAUGGGCUUCUUAGGUACCAGGUCUGACUGCUGACUCCCAGGAGUCCCAUGGAGACUUGGCGGAAAGGCUCCUUCCGCAAUGCCUCCCUCUUCAAGCGACUGACCCUGGGGCGGCCACGGCGACUUCGGCGACAGGGCAGCGUGCUUAGCCAGGCCAGCACUGCUGGUGGCGACCAUGAGGAGUACAGCAACCGAGAAGUCAUCAGAGAACUGCAAGGGAGGCCAGAUGGCCGGCGCCUGCCCUUGUGGGGGGACGAGCAGCCCCGAGCCACCCUGCUGGCUCCACCCAAGCCCCCUCGCCUCUACCGAGAGAGCUCCAGCUGCCCCAACAUUCUGGAGCCCCCAGCUACCUACACUGCUGCCUACACUGCUACCCUGCCCUCAGCGAUCUCCCUGGCAGGCCCCCUCCACCAAUUCUCAGAGGAGGACCUUUCAGACACUUCCCAUUUCCCAAGGACACCUGCUCCGGACCUCAGUGAUCCUUUUUUCUCCUUCAAAGUGGACCUAGGGAUUUCACUUCUGGAGGAAGUUCUACAGAUGCUGAGGGAGCAAUUCCCCAGUGAGCCCCGCUUCUGACCCAGCUGAGGGUGGCAAAGCUGGGGUGAGUGGAGGAGUGGAGCCUGAAGACCCAGGGAAGAGAGGAGAACUGGAUCAGUGAAUGGACACUAUACCAUGAAGAGGCUCUAGAAUCCUCCACCAGGACUGUGGGGCUCUACCUUACCCAAACCAGGCCAAGACCUCAAGUUGUGCUACUGCCCCACCCUGUGGCCUAGCCAGAAGAUCUGAAUCCAGAACUCCAGCAGCACUUGGUUGGACAAUGUGGGUCUGAACCCCAGGUCUCUCCCAGGGUGAGAAGGCAGAGGGAAGCUUUGACAUGCUGUCUCCACAAAUCAAAGCGUUCCUCUUUCUUCCUCUUGUGUGGAGGUGCUGAGCAAAAAGUUUCCUCUGGAUCCAGGAGACAAUAAAGUUUUUUCUAACAUGACCAAUGGAGUGUUACCUGGGCUGUGAAAUGCUGGGACUUAAAGAUGAGGAAAUAAAGCCUCUUUUAAUACAGGGUCCUGAGCUGGGCUUAGGCUACUUCAUGUUUCUCCUCUGUCCAGGGUCUGGGACACAUUCCCAGAAAGCUUCCAAUGCCUUAGGAAGGUGUUGAGACAGGUAAUGGAGCAGAGAUCCUGCUAACCUGCUGAGAGGCUCUGGACCCAACAAUACCCAGGCUGUUUCUGAAAAGGAAAAAGCCAGGCUGCUGGCUCCUGCCCCCCAAACAGUCAAUCCCUCCAAUAUGGAGAACAGCAGUGUCAAGGAGCCCUGUGCCCCAGCCUUUGUAGUCAGAUUGAAAAACAGUGGGCCAUGGGGGCCAGGGUGAACACAAGCCACUGUGGAGUUGCAAAGACUAAGGCAGCCCUGGACCCACUCAGCUGGAAGGUACACACUGCCACAAGGGGGGCACCAUAGCACCCCAGGUUCUGCAUGGGACUGAUGCCAUUUUUAGAGAUGUGCUUCUUCAGAGUCAGUCCGUGAGUAGGCAGCCAGAGACACCCCUGGAAAACUGAAGUACUGGGGAAAGACACAGCUGCCCUCCUUACUUGCCUGCUACGCCUUCUGCCCAGCACUGGGCUGUCUAAGCUCAAAUCCUUUAUAUCACACCAAGAGCCACCAGGCAAGAGGUGCCCUCUCGGGGGGAUGAGAGUGCCAACAGGAGAUGUACAUGGAAGAUAAGGUCCAACCUUUGGGUAGGCCUGGAAGUGUACCUCAGUGACGGAAUGUAGGCUAAGCAUGAGUGAGACCCCAGGUUUGAUCCCAUGGUCAGGGAAAAAAAAAAGAAAGAAAAUUAUAUGGUAUAGGGUCCCUCUUGUCUUCAGAGAACAGGGAUCAGCAGGAAAUCAGCCUUCCUGCUUGGGCUACUGGACCUACCAAUCUAUUCAACACCCACCAAUCUGGACUUGGGAAGAAAGGGCCUGAGAGUAGAAGAGGAUGGCCCCAAACCCCCAGCA